AGGCUUAUGAUGAUAAUAUAAUUUAAUCUUAGCGGAUUUCAGUGAGAUUUUUAAUCAAGGAUCUGAUUGUUACACACACUGAGGCCU